rnacentral:lncRNA from 1 species
AUUUCCCCUAGCAUAAGUUGAUACGGUCCCAAUGUUUCUUUUUUUUUUUUCCCAAAUGGCCACUCAUUUAUACCAACACCAUUUAUUGAAUCGUCUAUAGUCCCCACUGAUUUGAAAUGCCAGCUUUACAUACCAAAGUCCUGUAUGCAUUUGCCUCUGUUCUGUUUGGUAGGUCUAUUCAAGCUCCAGUUCCCAAAAGUGUUGAGUGUCGCUUAAAAUCUAGAAGGGCUGGUUUCUAGUUUUCCAUAAUUGCUCCUCUUUUCUAGUGUCCUCUGUCCUAUUAGGGCUUAUUGAUUUUUAAAUAUGAUUUGUGGAUUCAGUUUUCUUUAGUUCUAGUGAGCAACAAAAACAACCAAGAAAAAAGCUUUAUCAAGAUAAUUUAAAAGUUUUUUUUUUCUUUUUCAUAGUCUAGGUAGUUUAAAUAGCACUGGAAUGAUCUGUUUUUUAAAGAUUUGGAAGAAAUCCUGUGAAACCAACUGGACUUAGGGAAUGGAGUUUGUGGAAGAUGUGAAAAUUGGCAUGACAUUUGAGGCCACAUUAAAAAAGCGAAGAUAAUUUUUAAACAGCAGUUCUUUACAAGUCUCAUAUUUACAGAUAGCACAAGCUAUGGCAUGGCGUAUGGCCUCCCUCCUAAAUAUACGAUUCUUUGGCAUAUUGGAAUUGGUCAGCCUCAAAGACCGGCUGGCUACAUCGUCGCACGAGACAGUCCCGCUUAUUCCUCUGCACGGACUCGGAGACGGUCCUCAGCGGGAGGAGCUCAGGUCUCCCUGGGCCAGACACGUGCCCCAGAGAGUCCCCAGAAGCAUGGACAGUUCUGCUCUGUUUCCAUCGCUCAGGCAGGGGAG